rnacentral:rRNA from 1 species
GACGAACGCUGGCGGCGUGCUUAACACAUGCCAGUCGAACGGAAAGGCCCUGCUUUUGUGGGGUGCUCGAGUGGCGAACGGGUGAGUAACACGUGAGUAACCUGCCCUUGACUUUGGGAUAACUUCAGGAAACUGGGGCUAAUACCGGAUAGGAGCUCCUGCUGCAUGGUGGGGGUUGGAAAGUUUCGGCGGUUGGGGAUGGACUCGCGGCUUAUCAGCUUGUUGGUGGGGUAGUGGCUUACCAAGGCUUUGACGGGUAGCCGGCCUGAGAGGGUGACCGGCCACAUUGGGACUGAGAUACGGCCCAGACUUCUACGGGAGGCAGCGGUGGGGAAUAUUGCACAAUGGGCGGAAGCCUGAUGCAGCAACGCCGCGUGCGGGAUGACGGCCUUCGGGUUGUAAACCGCUUUCGCCUGUGACGAAGCGUGAGUGACGGUAAUGGGUAAAGAAGCACCGGCUAACUACGUG